CGUAGGAGGCAAGCGUUAUCCGGAUUCACUGGGCGUAAAGCGCGUGCAGGCGGUGCGGUAAGUUAGGCGUGAAAUCUCCCGGCUCAACUGGGAGAGGUCGUCUAAUACUACCGUACUUGAGAGCAGAAGAGGAAGAUGGAAUUCCCGGUGUAGUGGUGAAAUGCGUAGAUAUCGGGAGGAACACCAGUGGCGAAGGCGAUCUUCUGGUCUGUUUCUGACGCUCAGACGCGACAGCUAGGGUAGUAAACGGGAUUAGAGACCCCGGUAAUCCUAGCCGUAAACGAUGUGAACUUGGCGUUGGUGGGUUAAACUCCAUCAGUGCCGCAGCAAACGCGAUAAGUUCACCGCCUGGGGACUACGGCCGCGAGGUUA
rnacentral:rRNA from 1 species